rnacentral:rRNA from 1 species
AACGAACGCUGGCGGCAUGCCUAACACAUGCAAGUCGAACGAGACCUUCGGGUCUAGUGGCGCACGGGUGCGUAACGCUGGGAAUCUGCCCUUUGCUUCGGAAUAACAGUUAGAAAUGACUGCUAAUACCGGUUGAUGUCUUCGGACCAAAGAUUUUAUCGGCAAAAGGAUGAGCCCGCGUAGGAUUAGGUAGUUGGUGGGGUAAAGGGCCUACCAAGCCGACGAUCCUUAGCUGGUCUGAGAGGAUGAUCAGCCACACUGGGACUGAGACACGGCCCAGACUCCUACGGGAGGCAGCAGUGGGGAAUAUUGGACAAUGGGCGAAAGCCUGAUCCAGCAAUGCCGCGUGAGUGAUGAAGGCCUUCGGGUCGUAAAGCUCUUUUACCAGGGAUGAUAAUGACAGUACCUGGAGAAUAAGCUCCGGCUAACUCCGUG